rnacentral:rRNA from 1 species
UCCUACGGGGCGCAGCAGUAGGGAAUUUUCGUCAAUGGGCGCAAGCCUGAACGAGCAAUGCCGCGUGAACGAGGAGGGUCUUCGGAUCGUAAAGUUCUGUUGAAGGGGAAAAAGAGCGGAGAGAGGAAAUGGUCUCCGAUUGAUAUUACCCUUCGGGGAAGUCACGGCUAACUACGUGCCAGCAGCCGCGGUAAUACGUAGGUGGCGAGCGUUAUCCGGAUUUAUUGGGCGUAAAGCGAGUGCAGGCGGUUCAAUAAGUCUGAUGUGAAAGCCUUCGGCUCAACCGGAGAAUUGGAUCAGAAAAU